CCUAUUUUCUAGUAAUUUUACUCGCCAUCGCAAGUGCUGCUGCUCAAAGCAGCGACCAGACUCAGUACCAAGGAGCCCAAGUGCUGAAACUCCAGCUGAAGACAGAUGCUCAAAAAACACUUGUCAAGAAGUUGGAGAGUGAUGGAAAGAUUGAAAUUUGGAAACGUUACUCCGACGGAAACAUCGUGGAUGCUUUAGUAAGCUCUUCGGCGCUAGCUGCAGUGAAAGCUCAGUUGAAGAAAGCAAACGUGGAAGUGCAAGUCAUGAUUGCCGACGUUGCGAAUACGAUAAAAUCGCUCAACCCCACUGCUGAGCAGCAGAAAAAUGCAGCUGCUAUUAUGAUUGCCGAUACAUACAACUUGCCUUUCACGCAAUACAACAGACUCAGCGUCAUUUACGGAUAUUUGGACUUUCUCGCCAAAACCUAUCCGACUUUCUGCACCGUUCAGAGUAUUGGAACCACUGCUUUGGGAAACACAAUUAAAAUGCUGAAAAUUACCGGAAGUGUACAGCCAGCCAAGCUCAGUUUCGUGAUUGA